rnacentral:rRNA from 1 species
AACGAACGCUGGCGGCAUGCCUAACACAUGCAAGUCGAACGAGACCUUCGGGUCUAGUGGCGCACGGGUGCGUAACGCGUGGGAAUCUGCCCUUGGGUUCGGAAUAACAGUUAGAAAUGACUGCUAAUACCGGAUAAUGUCUUCGGACCAAAGAUUUAUCGCCCAGGGAUGAGCCCGCGUAGGAUUAGCUAGUUGGUGAGGUAAAGGCUCACCAAGGCGACGAUCCUUAGCUGGUCUGAGGGGAUGAUCAGCCACACUGGGACUGAGACACGGCCCAGACUCCUACGGGAGGCAGCAGUGGGGAAUAUUGGACAAUGGCGAAAGCCUGAUCCAGCAAUGCCGCGUGAGUGAUGAAGGCCUUAGGGUUGUAAAGCUCUUUUACCCGGGAUGAUAAUGACAGUACCGGGAGAAUAAGCCCCCGGCUAACUCCGUGCCAGCAGCCGCGGUAAU